ensembl:lncRNA
GUGUCAGGAGGUGGAGCCAUGGUGUCUGGAGGAGAGACCGUGGUCGUGAAGACAAGCCGAGUGGAGAGCUCCUCAUCAUCAGGUGGCACAAUGGUUUCAGGAGGUGGAGCCAUGAUGUCAGGAGGUGGAGCCAUGAUUUCAGGAGGUGGGGCCCAAAUGAUGUCAGGAGGCGGAGCCAUGAUGUCUGGAGGCGGAGCCAUGGUGUCAGGAGGUGGAGCCAUGGUGUCUGGAGGAGAGACCGUGGUCGUAAAGACAAGCCGAGUGGAGAGCUCCUCAUCAUCAGGUGGCACAAUGGUUUCAGGAGGUGGAGCCAUGAUGUCAGGAGGUGGAGCCAUGAUUUCAGGAGGUGGCGCCCAAAUGAUGUCAGGAGGUGGAGGCAUGAUGUCAGGAGGUAUGAUGUCAUCGGAGACUGUCCAAAUAUCAUCAGGUGGCUCAUUGGUGUCAGGUGGUGGGGCAGGAAUGAUGUCAGGAGGUGAAGGCAUGAUGUCCAGUGGCGGUUCCAUGAUAUCUGGUGGCAUGAUGUCAUCAGGUGGCACCAUGAUGUCAGGAGGUGGAGCCCAAAUGAUGUCAGGAGGUGGAGCCCAAAUGAUGUCAGGAGGUGGAGGCAUGAUGUCCAGUGGCAUGUCUUUAGACGGUUCCAUGAUAUCUGGUGGCAUGGUGUCAUGUGGUGGCUCUGAAAUGAUGUCAUCAGGUGGAGCCAUGUCAGGCGGCAUGAUGUCAUCAGGUGGCUCCAUGAUGUCAGGAGGUGGAGCCAUGAUGUCAGGAGGUGGCUCUGAAAUGAUGUCAUCAGGUGGAGCCAUGAUGUCAGGAGGUGGAGGCAUGGUGUCAUGUGGUGGCUCUGAAAUGAUGUCAUCAGGUGGAGCCAUGAUUUCAGGAGGUGGAGCCAUGAUGUCAGGAGGUGGGGCCCAAAUGAUGUCAGGAGGUGGAGGCCAAAUGAUGUCAUCAGGUGGAGCCAUGGCAGGCGGCAUGAUGUCAUCAGGUGGCACCAUGAUGUCAGGGGGAGAAACGAUGUCCAUGUCUGGUGGCUCAAUGUCAUCCUCCACCAGCUUCUCCUCUUAGAAGG